GGAUUUAGCUCAGUGGUAGAGCGCUUGCCUAGCAAGCGCAAGGCUCUGGGUUCGGCCCCCAGAUCCG
rfam:Rattus norvegicus chromosome 3, whole genome shotgun sequence.